UACGGGGGGGGCAAGGGUUGUUCGGAAUUACUGGGCGUAAAGGGUUCGUAGGUGGCCAACUAAGUCAGACGUGAAAUCCCUCAGCUCAACUGGGGAACUGCGUCUGAGACUGGAUGGCUUGAGUGCAGGAGAGGAACGCGGAAUUCCAGGUGUAGCGGUGAAAUGCGUAGAUAUCUGGAGGAACACCGGUGGCGAAGGCGGCGUUCUGGACUGCAACUGACACUGAGGAACGAAAGCCAGGGGAGCAAACGGG
rnacentral:rRNA from 1 species